rnacentral:rRNA from 1 species
AUGAACGCUGGCGGCGUGCCUAAUACAUGCAAGUCGAGCGAACAGAUGAGGAGCUUGCUCCUCUGACGUUAGCGGCGGACGGGUGAGUAACACGUGGAUAACCUACCUAUAAGACUGGGAUAACUUCGGGAAACCGGAGCUAAUACCGGAUAAUAUAUUGAACCGCAUGGUUCAAUAGUGAAAGACGGUUUUGCUGUCACUUAUAGAUGGAUCCGCGCCGCAUUAGCUAGUUGGUAAGGUAACGGCUUACCAAGGCAACGAUGCGUAGCCGACCUGAGAGGGUGAUCGGCCACACUGGAACUGAGACACGGUCCAGACUCCUACGGGAGGCAGCAGUAGGGAAUCUUCCGCAAUGGGCGAAAGCCUGACGGAGCAACGCCGCGUGAGUGAUGAAGGUCUACGGAUCGUAAAACUCUGUUAUUAGGGAAGAACAAAUGUGUAAGUAACUAUGCACGUCUUGACGGUACCUAAUCAGAAAGCCACGGCUAACUACGUG